rnacentral:pre_miRNA from 1 species
AAUGAUAAGGCAUCUUCUUCUCUACUGAGUCUGGCAGUGGUUUUAAUUUAAUAUUCACUGACAAACCCAGUAGAGAAAUAGAUUACUUAUUUUA